rnacentral:rRNA from 1 species
CCUACGGGCGGCAGCAGUGGGGAAUAUUGGGCAAUGGGCGCAAGCCUGACCCAGCAACGCCGCGUGAAGGAAGAAGGCUCUCGGGUUGUAAACUUCUUUUAUCAGGGACGAAGCAAGUGACGGUACCUGAUGAAUAAGCCACGGCUAACUACGUGCCAGCAGCCGCGGUAAUCCGUAGGUGGCAAGCGUUAUCCGGAUUUACUGGGUGUAAAGGGCGUGUAGGCGGUAAAGCAAGUCAGAUGUGAAAACCAUGGGCUCAACCUGUGGACUGCAUUUGAAACUGUUUUUCUUGAGUACUGGAGAGGCAGACGGAAUUCCUAGUGUAGCGGUGGAAUGCGUAGAUAUUAGGAGGAACACCAGUGGCGAAGGCGGUCUGCUGGACAGCAACUGACGCUGAGGCGCGAAAGCGUGGGGAGCAAACAGGAUUAGAUACCCGAGUAGUC